UACAGAGGGGGCAAGCGUUGUUCGGAAUUACUGGGCGUAAAGGGCGCGUAGGCGGCCUUCUAAGUCGAACGUGAAAUCCCCGGGCUCAACCCGGGAACUGCGUCCGAUACUGGAAGGCUUGAAUCCGGGAGAGGGAUGCGGAAUUCCAGGUGUAGCGGUGAAAUGCGUAGAUAUCAGGAGGAACACCGAUUGCGAAGGCAGCUCGCUGGGACGUUACUGACGCUGAGACGCGAAAGCGUGGGGAGCAAACAGG
rnacentral:rRNA from 1 species